rnacentral:rRNA from 1 species
CCUACGGGUGGCAGCAGUGGGGGAUAUUGCACAAUGGGGGGAACCCUGAUGCAGCGACGCCGCGUGGGUGAAGGAGUGCUUCGGCAUGUAAAGCCCUAUCGGCAGGGAAGAAGCAAGACGGUACCUGACGAAGAAGCCCCGGCUAACUACGUGCCAGCAGCCGGGGUAAUACGUAGGGGGCGAGCGUUAUCCGGAUUCACUGGGUGGAAAGGGAGCGUAGACGGCCAUGCAAGCCAGGGGUGAAAGCGCGGGGCCCAACCCCGGGACUGCCCUUGGAACUGCAUGGCUGGAGUGCGGGAGGGGCAGGCGGAAUUCCUGGUGUAGCGGUGAAAUGCGUAGAUAUCAGGAGGAACACCGACGGCGAAGGCAGCCUACUGGACCGCGACUGACGUUGAGGCUCGAAAGCGUGGGGAGCGAACAGGAUUAGAUACCCGAGUAGUC